rnacentral:tRNA from 1 species
AAAAAGGUAAGCUAAAUAAGCUAGUAGGCUCAUAACCUAAAUAUAGAGGUAAUACUCUCCUUUUUA